AGAACGAACGCUGGCGGCAUGCCUAACACAUGCAAGUCGAACGAGACCUUCGGGUCUAGUGGCGCACGGGUGCGUAACGCGUGGGAAUCUGCCCUUAGGUUCGGAAUAACUCAGGGAAACUUGAGCUAAUACCGGAUAAUGACGUAAGUCCAAAGAUUUAUCGCCUAGGGAUGAGCCCGCGUAGGAUUAGCUAGUUGGUGGGGUAAAAGCCUACCAAGGCGACGAUCCUUAGCUGGUCUGAGAGGAUGAUCAGCCACACUGGGACUGAGACACGGCCCAGACUCCUACGGGAGGCAGCAGUGGGGAAUAUUGGACAAUGGGCGAAAGCCUGAUCCAGCAAUGCCGCGUGAGUGAUGAAGGCCUUAGGGUUGUAAAGCUCUUUUACCCGGGAUGAUAAUGACAGUACCGGAGAAUAAGCUCCGGCUAACUCCGUGCCAGCAGCCGC
rnacentral:rRNA from 1 species